UGGGGAAUAUUGGACAAUGGGCGAAAGCCUGAUCCAGCCAUGCCGCGUGUGUGAAGAAGGUCUUCGGAUUGUAAAGCACUUUAAGUUGGGAGGAAGGGCAGUAAGCGAAUACCUUGCUGUUUUGACGUUACCGACAGAAUAAGCACCGGCUAACUCUGUGCCAGCAGCCGCGGUAAUACAGAGGGUGCGAGCGUUAAUCGGAUUUACUGGGCGUAAAGCGUGCGUAGGCGGCUAAUUGAGUCGGAUGUGAAAUCCCCGAGCUUAACUUGGGAAUUGCAUUCGAUACUGGUUAGCUAGAGUGUGGGAGAGGAUGGUAGAAUUCCAGGUGUAGCGGUGAAAUGCGUAGAGAUCCGGAGGAAUACCGAUGGCGAAGGCAGCCAUCUGGCCUAACACUGACGCUGAGGUACGAAAGCAUGGGGAGCAAACAGG
rnacentral:rRNA from 1 species